AAAUUAAAUAAUGGAACCAAAAAUUGGGAGCCUGAAGAAAUUAUUGAAAACAACUUAGUGUUUAAAUCUGAUAGAUGAGUGGCCCAUAAUGAAAUUGGGCUGAGAACAGCCUUUGUCAGGCAAAUCCUCGCCUGACCCCUUUUAGCUUUUCCCACAGAGGAACCAAUAGACUACAGAGUCGAGUGAGAUGAAAACAAAAUAGCAUAUGCUGGUGGU
rnacentral:lncRNA from 1 species